rnacentral:rRNA from 1 species
AUAAGAUUUCCCACCGCAAGGGUAAGACCCCAGAAAGACUAUCUGGUUGAUAGGUCGAAGGUGUAAGUGCAGCAAUGUAUUUAGCUUAUCGAUACUAAUAGGUCGAGGACUUGACCAAUAUU